rnacentral:rRNA from 1 species
GACGUAGGGCGCGAGCGUUGUCCGGAUUUAUUGGGCGUAAAGGGCUCGUAGGCGGUUUGUCGCGUCGGGAGUGAAAACACCGGGCUUAACUCGGUGCUUGCUUUCGAUACGGGCAGACUAGAGGCAUGCAGGGGAGAACGGAAUUCCUGGUGUAGCGGUGAAAUGCGCAGAUAUCAGGAGGAACACCUGAGGUGAAGACGGGUUGCUGGGCCGACACUGACGCUGAGUGCGCGAAAGCCAGGGGAGCAAACGGG